rnacentral:rRNA from 1 species
GCAAGUCGAACGCGAAAGAUUCCUUCGGGAAUUGAGUAGAGUGGCGGACGGGUGAGUAACGCGUAGGAAUCUGCCCAUGUAGUGGGGGAAAACUCGAGGAAACUCGAACUAAUACCGCAUACGCUCUACGGGGGAAUGGGGGACUCUACUUGAAAGCUCCUGCUAUUGGAUGAGCCUGCGUCGGAUUAGCUAGUUGGUGGGGUAAAGGCCCACCAAGGCGACGAUCCGUAGCUGGUCUGAGAGGACGACC